rnacentral:rRNA from 1 species
GUCGAGAAUCUUUCACAAUGGGGGCAACCCUGAUGGAGCGACGCCGCGUGGAGGAUAAGGUCUUCGGAUUGUAAACUCCUGUCAUGCGUGAACAAGGUUGCUUGGAUAAUACCUGAGCAAAUUGAUGGUAGCGCAAGAGGAAGAGACGGCUAACUCUGUGCCAGCAGCCGCGGUAAUACAGAGGUCUCAAGCGUUGUUCGGAAUCACUGGGCGUAAAGGGUGCGUAGGUGGCGUGGCAAGUCAGAUGUGAAAGCACGGGGCUCAACCUCGGAACUGCAUCCGAUACUGCCAUGCUAGAGUACUGGAGAGGUGACUAGAAUUCUCGGUGUAGCAGUGAAAUGCGUAGAUAUCGAGAGGAAUACCAAAGGCGUAGGCAGGUCACUGGACAGUUACUGACACUGAGGCACGAAGGCCAGGGGAGCGAACGGGAUUAGAAACCCGAGUAGUCC